UACAGAGGGUGCAAGCGUUGUUCGGAAUUAUUGGGCGUAAAGCGCGUGUAGGCGGCCGUGCAAGUCGGGUGUGAAAGCCCUCGGCUCAACCGAGGAAGUGCAUCCGAAACUGAGCAGCUAGAGUACGAAAGAGGGUCGCGGAAUUCCCGGUGUAGAGGUGAAAUUCGUAGAUAUCGGGAGGAACACCGGUGGCGAAGGCGGCGACCUGGGUCGAGACUGACGCUGAGGCGCGAAAGCGUGGGGGAGCAAACAGG
rnacentral:rRNA from 1 species